AUGAAUUUCAAGAUUGGUGUGAUCAAGUGAGCCACCAUCUUGAGGGUGCCUGUUAAGGUAUUAUAUCCCACAUCGAAUGAUGAUGGAAAAAAUUUCAAUUUAUAAAGGAUUGGACUUCUCCACUUAAUAAGGUUGACCUUAUUAAGAUGGACCCCAAACUUUAAAAUUGUUACAAUUUAUUGAAUCUGAAACAAUUGAUUAAACUCCAUUAAUGGAGAACAAAUACACUCCAUGAAAGGAGGCACAAUCAACUCCUUUAUGGAGGAAGAAAACUCCAUGAAAGGAGAACAUUAAACUCUCCAUAAAAGGAGGAAUGGAAACUCCAUAAUAGGAGAAAAUGAAACCUCCAUAAGGAAGGAUUGUAAGACUAUACUCCAAUGAGUUAACAAUGCAUACAAGUGCUCUAUUUAUAGAGCAAAACUAACUAAGGAGGCAAUACGUAUGGAAGAAGAAGUCUCUAGAAUCUGCAUGCUGAACUGGAGGGAAUAUUUUGGUGGAAUCUGGUUAUGCACACUACACACGUGAAGUUAACUGGAAGUGAUGAAUGUUUGGUUCCAACACACCCCCUCAAGAUGGACUUGGAUCCAUCUUGAAGAUGAGUUGUGAAUCAUCAACCAUGUAACAACAACAACAUAUUGAAGUUCAAGUAGAUGUUAUUACUCCAGAUCCUUCAAGUGGUAAGGCUGGUUUACAGAUCCAAGUGUUCCACGCAUUUCAGUUGGAGAGAUCUCAGAUAUAUUAAGUGGCAGUAUCUCAGAUGAUAUAGAAUCUCCACCUCCACUGCACGUAUUAGACUCUGAGGAGAGGGCAGAUCUUGGAUCGAAGAAAUUGAGCCACAACACUCAUGACUCUCAUAAAGUAUUUGCAGAAGAGUAGCUUUGUCGAACAUUUCAUCAAGCACCUUGUGUGCAUACAAGAACUUCUAAUUUUCUCUGAUAGAUGUUUAGAUCUUCCACAGCACCAAGAACUCCUGAGUCAUAUGUGAACCAAAUAGAAAGUAUUUCAAUAGAAGAUAUCAUCAGAUCAAAUGAGUGAACAACUAGGGGGAAGCAAAAUGAAGCCAGACAGAUCUUCGAGUUUGCUGUGUUCUGCCAUUUUUCUACCUAAUAUCAUUGCACAGAUCAUUGAACCAGACUUCCAAACAAAUCAGCAAUUACAGCAGGAUUACGAGGAUCAUCUUCAGGAAUUCCCUGCUCUUGUAUCCUCCAAGGAAUUCAAUUGUGCAUUCAGCUCUGUAUCAGCAAGAGCAUCGAGAUUUCUUCAACCUGAUGUCCAGUGGCAAAUGGACUAAAUUCUGAAUUCUGGUUGAAAUUGUCAGCUCAACGAUUUUAUAGAAUCCAGAAGAAAACGAAGAGAAUUGCAAAAAAAAAAUGAGGCAGACAGAUCUGGAGAAGAGCUGGAAAUUAUUCACUAAAUGAAUAUUAGAUCAAGCAACAGAUUUAUUGAAUCUGUGAAGAGAUGAAGGACACUGAAGAGAUCGCCGGCGGUACCAAUGCUACAUUUCCGGCUAAUUCACCACAUCGUGAAGAUCUCCGGCCUCGGCUUCUCUGGUUGCCUCAAGGACUGUACGGACCUGGCCCAUAGAGUCUCCCUCUUAACUCAUUUGCCUGAAGAAAUUGGGGAUUCGAAGAAAACCCAUAAAUAUCAUGAAACUUCUUUAAAUUCUUGCUUCUCUGAUCUCUCACUGGCUCUCCAGGCUGCUAUAAGGCGGGGUAGUUUUUAUAUUGGCUGAAUUAUUGAGCCUAUUUUACACAACAGCCUUUCCUAUUGAAAAUACUAUUUUACCCUUACUAAAAUUAUUUGCAAGAUGUAUCUUAUAUCUUUAAGGAUUUAACAAUCAGGACCUAUAUCUAUAUUUUUCAAUCUUUUGAGCACCUUUAAAUAUUCUUUAUAUUUUAAUAGUUUUUCAAAGAUUAUAGGUUGACCUUUCUUGAUUAUAUAUCCUUUAAAUAAUCCUUCUAAAAUUUCUUCUUAUAUAUUUCUAUGUUUGGUUAUAAUAUCUUCUACCUUUCUUAUUUCUCUACUAGUUCUUACAGAAUCAAAUCCUAUAUUACUUCUACAAUUAUAAUCUAUAUCUCUAUAUAUUUCUUCAAUUUUUUCUUUACCUACAGGAAAUAUAUCAUCAGAUUUUUCAUCUAGUUUGAGUAGGAACGAAACAUCUUUUUCAUCUAAAAAUAAAAUAAGAUUAUUAUCAUCCUUAGUAGUGGAAGUAGAUGCAUGUGAAUUGUUCAUCAAAAUAAUUAAAGCAUGAGCAUGUAAAAACAAGUAAAUAACUUAUAGUAAUCAAGUGGAAAUAAACAGGAUUUCCCUCCAAUAUGUUCUUAUAGAUGCUUUGUGAUAAGUGCGUUUUUACACACUUAUUUGGUCCAUAAAACAUGACUAAUUGUUGAUAAAAGUGUUUGAAUAUGACUUAAUUCUAUAUAAUUUCGUUUUGUAGGACAAUGUUGAUGACCAUGGCGAAAUUCAAGAGAAAAUGAACGAAAAAAGGACCAAAACGGGAGAAAAUGACAGGGAGUAAAAUGCAUCACUUGAAUGAAUUGAGGACUUGGAUGAUAAAUAUUGCAUUGGAAUUUAAAAUGGGUCUUGAAUAACAGCAAAAGAAGCUGCCGAAUGGAGGAGAGAAAAUAAAAUAUAUUGGGCCUUAGUUUGGACUCUAUUUGGUAUCAACUUUGGACUCCUAAUUUGUUUACAAGACUACAAAAGGGCUUAAUUGUUUGGUAUAUAUAUGAUACACACGUACAGAUUGAAAAGGCAGCCGUGGGGGAGAUAAUUGGAAUCCCUUCUGGGGAUUAUUCAUAUACGCACGUCGGCGGCUCAAGGCUGGGAAUUAAUUGUAUAUAUACAUACAGAAAGCCGAAAUCAGAUUGGUGAAGCCGGGGCUGAGUUGAAUAUAUUAUAUAUAGGCAGAAAAACGGCAAGUUGGAGGCCGAGAACUGAGUGCGGAAUUGAUAAAAUUUGAGUGGGCUGAAAAGUCGACUUAUAUACGUACAUAAUUCCCACAAAUCGGCCAGCUGCUGGGAAGGAAUUGAAGCAUACAUAUACAAACAAAAGGCAGCAGCUGAGAAUUAAUUGAGACUACAAAAGGCGGCUGCAAGGUGGAAAUAAAUAUACAUAAGGAACUGAAACCAAGCUGUGAGGAAAUUAAGGACAAAUCGACUGCCGGAAUUGGAAUUUUCAAUUGGAUAAUAGAAUUGGCGGCUGCAAAUUACAUAUUCAUAUUAUUUACACACGGCAAAGACGCGAAAAGAGAGACGGACAACAAGCUGUUGAAGGAAUAAUUUCAGAUUGCCUUUGGAAGGAAUUUGGAUGUUGAUCGCGUUCCGUCAAUUUUUGGUGAUUUCGUUCCACUUGUAUUUAUUUAAUUCCACCAUUAUGCUCAGGUAGACUUGUUCGUGCUAGGAAAACGAUGAACUUUGUUAUAUGAAUUUUUAAUCUCUAGUUUACGUUUUUGACAUUAAAACAUGCGUUUGGAAUUUGAAUGAUUUAUAUGCACUUAUUUUCUCCGCAAUUAUCGUGCACGUAAUUUGUGUGAGUUUGGUGACUUGUUCUUGCAUUCGAGAGAAGUGGAAUAGGUUCGACAGGGUAUAAAUCAUUGUAGGGUCCGAUAGGGGAUAGAGAUAUACCGCUAUGCCUUGCGUGAGUCUUUAAGUGUUCACAAAACCACAUGCAUUUUUAUAUAUGCACUUGUCAUAGAAAUAUAGACCGGUGGUAUGUAAAAAUAGGUUCGAUACAUCUCGAGAGAGAGUGUUGGAUAGAUUUAGGAACAUUGAUUCUUCAAAAUCUAACCGUGUCGUCAAAUUGUAAAACUAAGGUUAAAAAUGAUUAUUUCAUAGGGAUUCGCUACCCUAGUACAUUCGUCAUUCAUUUAUUACGUUAAACUUGCAUUCAAAACGUCACAAUGUAUUUUAGUUUAUUUAAUUCUCAUACAUUUGCAUCCGUAAUUUAGAGUAGGUUUAAUUACAUUGCAAAAAUCACAUUUGACAUUCUUGUUUCGGUUAAGGUCGGGAUAAGUAAAAUUGAACUAACCAAUCUCUGUGGGACGAUACUCGGACUCAAUUGAUCCACUUUAUUACUUGUUAACGAACCGUACACUUGCGGUAAUUUAAAUCGAAAGAAAUAUUUUGCGAACACUUUGUAUGUACUUAAUCAAUUUUCUGAAUCAAGUAAAAAUUUAAAAUGUUUUUGAAAUCAUUUGAGUCCACAACUGCUUCCGCAAAAGGUUUUUCAAUUAAGGUUGCAUUUCUCAUUCUAGAUAACUGGCCGUGUUUCCACAGACGUUAUCUCACAGUAUCCAGAGUUUCUGUUUUCACCUCUAUCCAAACUCUUUUCAGAAUCAAGUUCCUACUUGGAAGGAAAUUUUAAAAGAUAACUCACACACAAGGUGCUACAAAUUUUGUUAGAAAACUGCAUUUUUCCCCUAAACCAUUCUUAAAAAAUGGAUACUUUGGCACGACUAACAUCCAUUCAAAAUCAAUGUUUUGAAAAUAUUUUUAAAAUCUCUAUCUGUACUGUCGAGGAAUCAUGAGAAAUUUAACGAAAUCCUUUUAUAAAAGCUUUGUUGAACAUAACAAACUUUAUUUUGAUAUUCAUAAACUGAAAUUGUACGUGCUUACAAACUAUAUUUACAUACUUUCGGUACUCACCUUAUGAAGUUUAGAACUCCAUAAGUGAUUACCUUAUUACACGCUUUCCUAUCUUCAAGCUAUCUAAUCUAUUUUUCUGAAUACAAGUGGUGUAUACAGUUUACAAAAGAUUUCUCUCAGAUAUGUUUAAGAGAUAAGCUAUUUCGAGAUCUCUUCUUUCUUCCUUCAUACCCCCUUUUAUAGGAGAUUUUGGAAUCUUAUCUUGGACAGGUGUUUUCCACCUUUCUUUGUUGGAUAGCUAGGUCAUCUUAUCUCCACCGAAUUCUUCAUUGUCUUCUUGUUGGGUGGACCUCUUCUCUUGAAAUUAGAUGCCUUAUCUUUUGAGUUUAUCUGCCACUUGUAACCAUUGGUGGGGAGUAAUUACAAUUAUAGAGACUUUUCUUGUACUAUCUUCUGUCUUCUAGUAGCCACAGUUUUUCUUUAAUAAAUUUCUUUAUUAAAGUAGUGAUAAAUGGCUACUUUAGUCACCAUCACUUUUCCAUUUUUGAAUCAAAGAAUUCUUUUAACAGCUUUCCUAAUGUUGGCUGGAAGCUGAGCUAUCUCUUUGAGAUAUUUGCGAGGAUAUAUACAAAGUAUAUUUCCUAUUUCAAAGCAAUUUCGAACCCAGUUGGCUGGUGCUCCUGGAUAAAAUUUUAUUUUGUUGUAUUUUGAAUAAUGGAGAGUCUUCAUCCAUUUUCCAAUCUCCAGAUACCAAUCUGAUAAAAUAUUAAAAAUAACAAUAAAGAGUGUUACUUCUUCAUGGUUAUCUCUUCUAGAAAAUUUUGCUUCAUAACAUAUUUUGACAAUAUCUUUUGGAUCUAUCCUUUCAAUAGAAAGUUUAGAUUAAGUUUGGCUCUGUGAAGAGCUACCUUCUCUUUUGAUAUCUUGAAUAUCUUUAUUACCAGUAAUAGGUUUGAGUAUUCCCUGUGAAGGGGUUCCUAUUACCUACUUUUUUUCCCUUUAUCCUUGGGGAGAGCGCUAGUAUUCACAAGUCCCUGCGAAGGGAUACUAGUCUUGGUACAAGUAACUUCUGCCUCAAGGGCUAUAUUUUUGCCUUGAAGGCUAUCUUGGAUAUUUUGAAUUUGGGUUUCCAAAUAGAAAACUUUUAUCUCAAGUAUUUGGACUUUCGUCCUUAGUUGUUCUAGCUCCAUCCCUACUAAGAUAAUCAGGAAGAAAGUUAACUUUUCCUUUAAUAUAUUCAAUAUCAAAUUUGAAGUAUGAGAACCAAAUUUGUAUUCUAAUAAUAUAUCUAUUGGUAAUAGAUGGAUCAACAUUAUUUUUCAAAAAUGCUUUAACUUGAGUAUUGUCAGUUCUGAUCAAGAACUUCUUUGGUAAUAAAUAAUCUUCAUAUUUUUGAACUCCUCUUUUUACAGUAAUGAGUUCUUUUCUGUUCGUCUCAUAUCUUGUUUCAACUUCUUUGAAUGUUCCUGAUGUAUAACCUACAAGUAUUUCAGGGCAAAAACAAUAUUUUUCACAUUUAUAUCCUUUAUGAUUCUUUUUUAUUUUUAAGACUGCUCCCCAGUAAUAAUCUGAAGCAUCAGUUUCAAGAAUAAAGAAAUUUUCUUCUUGUGGAAUUACAAGUUUGUGUAAUACUUUUAACUCUUCUUUAACUUUUCUUAUAUUCUCAGAAUCUUGUUCUUCCCAAGACCACAUUAUGUUUUUUCUUAACUUUGGAAGAAAAUAAUUUUUUAAUUUGGCACAAUUUUCAAUGAAUCUUUCAGCAUAAUUUAAUAUACCAAGGAAGCUUUGUAAUUAUUUUUCAUCUUUGAUUUUUUCAGGAAAUUCUUGAAUUUUUUCUCCAAUAUGCGAUUGCAAUUACAAUUCUCCUUCUUUGAUAAAUAAUCCCAAAAACUCUAUUUCUGUUUUGGCUAUCUCAGUUUUCUUUUGAGAAAGUGUAAUACCAUGUUUUUUCAUAAUAUAACAGAAUUUCUCAAGAUGUUUAAUAUGUUCAUCAAUAUUAUUUGAAUGAAUUAAUAAAUCAUCAACAUAUACAAUACAGAAAUGAGUAAUUGGUUUUAUUACCUCAUCCGUUCUUCUUUGGAAUAUCUGUGGUGCAUUUUUCAACCCAAAUGGCAUUACAUUCCAUUCGUAUUGUCCUAAAGGAUUGGGGGUACUAAAUGCAGUUAGUGGUUUACUUUCUUCUGUAAGCAUGAUUUGCCAAAAUCCUGACUUGCAAUCAAAUUUUGAAAAUAUAUUUUUAUUCUGUAUUUGCUUAAUAAGGGUCUCCUUAUUUGGCAAGUAGUAUCCAUCAAAUUUAGUAACUUCAUUUAAUUUCUUGUAGUUUAUCACCAUUCUGGCUUUUCCUCUUUUUAUCUCACUAUGUUUUCUAACCAUAAAAGUUGGGCUGCUAUGUGGGCUUUUGCUAGGCCUAAUCAAUCUGGCUUCUAACAAUUCUUUUAUCUGAUUUUUAAAUUCUUUUUGAUCAUCAACACUAUAUUUCAUAGGUUUGACUCUUACUAUAGUGUCUGGAUUGAUUAAUUCUAUUUUUGCAUUUACUUUGUCUGUAUUCCAUUUUUCUAAUGGAUUUUCAGAAUAUGUUUCAGAAAUUUCUUUUUUCAAUUUUUCCAACCUAUUUUCUGUUGUCAUUUUUAAGACUGUAAUUGGUUUAAAUUUUUCUGUACUCUAACAUCCACCACGCUGGGUUGAGGAACUCUGAUGGCUUAUAUCCCUAUAUGCAAUUGUAACAGCUUUAUUAAUUUUUGGUGUAAAUAUUUUAUGUACACAAGGUGUUGUGAACAUAUACUUAUCAGUAUAUUGUGUAAAUGAUGCAUAUUUUAAUAGAAAAUUUUGUCCUAAUAAAAUAUCGCAUUCAAUUGUAGUUGACAUAUAUAUUGUAUCAACAAAUACUUCUCUAAAGUAAAUUAGAAAAGGUACUUGCGUAGCAUACUUGCUGUAUAUUACCUUAUUUCCACCUGCUGUUGUAGCAGUGACUAUCUUUUUUGAAUUGUAUUUUCAGUAUUCAGAUGGUAGUACAUUUGGUAAGCAUAAACUUAUUGUACUUCCUGUAUCUAAGUAAGCAUGAAAUUUAAUUCUACAAUAGCUUUUUAUAUUGAGAGUAAUUUCAAUAUAUGGACUCAUGGGAUUUGUACUUAUUAUUCUUUCCAUGAUAAUAAUGAUUUCAUAUUUUCAUCUAUUCUUGGUAUGAUGAUUGGGUUAUCAUCAACUGUUAUUUUUAAAUAUCCUUGACAAAUUUUAUAAGGACUAUAUUUCUCAAGAAAGUUCAUUCCUAAUAGAAUAGGUGAACGAUCUACUCCAUAUAACUCAUCUUUAUAUGUAGUUAUUUCUUUAAUACAUUCUUUCUGAUCCUCUCCUACAAGUAUAAGAGGAAAUUUGACAUAUUUUCUUAUUUCAAGAUUAUUUCCCAAAUAAUCCUUAAAUAUAUAUGGUUCUGGUAUUUCAAAGUCUAUUAAAUGAUUAACAAACUUGGCAUUUACAUGGCUUUUAUCUGCUCCAAUAUCUAUGAGGACAAGAAGAUUUUUCUUAAACCCUUCUUGGUUUACAUAUCUUGUAUUAAUGUAAUAUUGUGAACUUGAUGGUUCAACAAUGCUUAAAUUCUUAAGCCUGCUUAUCCUAGAAUCUUGUCUAGAGGGAAAUCUUGCAAUAAGAUUGUCUCCUUCUAAGCUGACACUAUUUCUUCUUAUUAAUUUUCCUUCAGAAUUAAUUUCUUUUGCUUGUUUAUGAAAAUCAAGCAUUAUUUGUUCUGGUAUAGUAACUUCAUGUUCUUGAUAUUUCCUAGGAGCUAUAUAUUGUGCUAAUUCCUCAAAAUCUUUAUGUAAGAUAAUGUUAUCAUUUAUCUUUCUUAGAUUAUUAUGAUGGCUAGUACUAAAAGCAAAAAUUGAUUUUAUGCUUAUACUAAUAGCGUUAUUUCUUCGUAACAUUUUCAAGUUUCCAAUUCUAUAGUAUAGAUUGAAACUUUGGUCAAUAUUUUCAUCAUUUAAAGAUAUUGCAUAAUUUGAUUUUACUGUAAAUAUUAUCUUCUGAUAGACUAAGUUUCCUACAACUGUUCCGAAUAAAGCAUCUAUAGGAUCAUGUAGUAUUCUAUUGUCCAUAUAGUAGAUUUCUAUUGGUAUAUUCAUUCCUUCUCUAAAGAAUCCUUUUACCAUUAUCUGGACUCCUCCUAAUUCAAUACAUUUUAAUUUAUUUCUUACAUUCUCUGGGAUUUUGGAUAGCUUUUGUUUUACCUAUUCUUUUGUUAUUAUAGGAAUUUUUGCUUUUCCUAUAGUGUCUUCUAUAUUGAUAGACAUUUCUUUAUAAUUCAUACUUACAAUUAUUUUAUUUACUCUUGGUAAAAUUCCUAAGAAUUCUUGAUGGAAUACAUCUUUUUCUUGUAGAUCUAAUAUUUUUUUAGUAAUUCUUGCGUAUUUUUUAAUAUCAAAGGUAAUUUCUUGAUUAAUACCUUCUAUAGAAUCUUCAACUUCUUCAAUUGUUUCAAUUUCAAUUUCUGAUUGUUGUAUCUCCUGAUUCAUAUAUACUAUUUCCUCAUAAUCUUCCUCUGAUGAGGAUGUAUCUAAUUCAUAAAUACUACUGCAUUCACUACUUAGAUCUUCAAAGUAUUCAAUUGGUUCUAUUUCACUAUCUUCUUGAAAUUUUUCAUAGAUUCUAAGAGUUUUUAUAUUUUGUCUAUCUUUCUUUUUAGGACAUUGAGGGGUAAUGUGCCCUUUUUCAUUACAAAUAAAAUAUCUACAUUUUUUAAUGUUUUUUGGUUUAAAUUUCUUAUUCCAAUUUCUUUUCUUGAAAUAUUUUUUAUGUGGUUUAAAAUUCCUUUUAUUGAAUUUUUUAUAAUUUUUGAAUUUUCUUUUAUAUUUCUUAUAUUGUUUAUAUUUCUUCUUAUGGCAUCCAAAUUGUUCAACUUGGUCAUUAUCUUUAUAACAACAUAAUGAAUUCUUUCUUAUUUUAUAAGCUUUCUUAUUUUCUAGUGCUUCUUUGCACCACAUACCUAUCAUUCUUCUUGUAAAUUCAAUUCUACUUCUAAGACUGUCUAUUUUAACUCCUUCCUCUUCCCCUAGAGGUAAUAAUUUCUCAUAUUCUUUUAAUAGCUUGAUCCCCCAUGGGAAUGGUAAUUUUGUAAAAUAAGAUCUUAAUAUAGGUUUAUUUUCUUGAUAAUCUCCUUGAUUAAGUAUAUAGUAUAAUUCUUCAAAUUUACAUGUAUAUCUUUCUAAUUCACACAUAUCACAUAUCUUUAGAUUUUCCACUGCUAUCAUUCCUUGAUUAUAUUCAUCUUGUUUUCUUUCUUCUUCAUUAGAAGUAUACCUAUCUCCUAAAAAUUCUGUCCUUAAGACAUUUUCAAAUCUUUUUAAUAUUUUCUGAAUAUUUUGUUCAUUUAGAGUGUUUCUAUUAUCUAAACUUCAGCUCUAUUUGUUCCAUAUUUUAUUCUUCCUUUAAUAAUUUCUGGUAACUUUCUCCACCAUUCAGAAACAAUUCCUUUGAAUGUAUGUUCUAUAAAUUCAAAAGUUGUAUAAGUUUUCCAUUUAUUAAAUUGUAUUGCUAAAUCUGUAAUUUUCAUCCAUAUUUCAAUAGCUUUAUUUUUAUCUACACGGUCUAAGUCUAACCAUCCUCCUGUUGUGUGGAUUGGUUCAUUGUAGGAUUUAUUUCUUUUAUGGAUUGUUUUCUUACAUUUCCAGUAUAUCUUUUCUGUGUUUUUCUAUAUUGAUUAAUGCCAUCCUUAAGUGGUAUUAUAGUACCAUAAGGAUAAUCUUGUUCUUUAUCACUACUAAAUUCUACUUUUAUAUUCUGACUUGAAGAUGGAUUAGUAUUCAUAUUUGUAUUUUCCAUUUUUUCAGUUAAUUCUUCUAACUGUUUUUUAUAUUCUUCAUACUCUUCACCUGUAGAUUCUAAGAAUUUUUGUUCUAUUUCUUCUACAUCUGUAAUCAUAUAUUGAUUUUCUUCAUAUUUUUUUCCUUUAUUAUUUUCUUUUUGUGUUAUUCUAAAAUCUUGAGGUGGAUUAAUUAUAAUACUAUCUUUUCCUCUAAGAUUUUUAUCUAAUAGAGCAUUUCCUACUUGUAGAUUAUGUUCUAGAUUUUCUAAUCUUUUAUGUAUAUCUCCAAAAUUUUCAUUUGUGGUGUUUUUAGGUAAAUAAGGAUAACUAGAUUUUUUAUGUUUUUCAACUUUUUUCAAAAAUUUCUCAAUUAUAUUUUCUUCAUCUAUUAUAUUCAUCAUAAUUUUUGAUUCGUAACAUGGCUCUGAUACCAUUUCGUCGGAGUGUGCAGUGGAGGGGUUAAUAUUUUUAAACCAGUUAAAAUCUUCGUAAGUAUUUAAAAUAUCACAAUAAAAUUUAUAGAAUUCACUAUUUUUUAUUAAUACUUUUUCUUCAAUGAUUAUAUUUAAUUCUUUAAUUCUUCUUCUCAAGUUAAUAAUUAGUUUAUAUAUAUCAUUUUCUAUUUUGGUUGUAUCAUUAUCUAUAGAAACAUUUUUAUUUUUUAAUUUUGGAUCUAAAUAUUCUGUAAAGAAUUCUCUCAGAUCUUCUUCUAAAUUUUUUAAUUCAUUUUCUGUUGCAUUUUUUAAAUCAAUAAAAUUUUCUAUAAUAUUUGGAUUUAAAUUUAUUAAAGAUUUAUGAUCUAUGUUUCUUUGAGGACCUAUUUGAAGAUUUUUAUACAUUGUGGUGGCUUUAAUUACAAUUUCUCUAUAAGGGGUAUUUUUGGAAAGAUUAUUGUUUGAAAACUAUUUUUCAAAUGUUUUCAUUUCUUAGCCUAAUCUUACAAAUUGUCAUUAUUUUUAGGCUAUUGGAAGGUAUUUCCUCCUAUAAGGCUCCUCUUUGCUGCUAACAAAUUCGAAGAUUCCAAUAUUUC
rnacentral:lncRNA from 1 species